rnacentral:rRNA from 1 species
AAAGGAAUAGACGGGGGCCCGCACAAGCAGCGGAGCAUGUGGUUUAAUUCGAAGCAACGCGAAGAACCUUACCAGGACUUGACAUCGUCUGAAUUACCCAUAACAGGGGAAGUCCUACGGGACAGACAGACAGGUGGUGCAUGGUUGUCGUCAGCUCGUGUCGUGAGAUGUUGGGUUAAGUCCCGCAACGAGCGCAACCCCUAUUACUAGUUGCCAUCAUUAAGCUGGGCACUCUAGUGAGACUGCCGGAGACAAUUCGGAGGAAGGUGGGGAUGACGUCAAAUCAUCAUGCCCCUUAUGUUCUGGGCUACACACGUGCUACAAUGGGUGUAACAACGGGAAGCAAGCCGGUGACGGCAAGCCAAUCCCUAAAAAGCACUCUCAGUUCGGAUUGCAGGCUGAAACCCGCCUGCAUGAAGAUGGAGUUGCUAGUAAUCGCGAAUCAGCAUGUCGCGGUGAAUACGUUCCCGGGCCUUGUACACACCGCCCGU